rnacentral:rRNA from 1 species
UUGGGAAUCUUGCACAAUGGGCGAAAGCCUGAUGCAGCGACGCCGCGUGGAGGACGAAGUCUCUCGGGAUGUAAACUCCUUUUGCCAGGAACGAUAAUGACGGUACCUGGUGAAUAAGCCCCGGCUAACUACGUGCCAGCAGCCGCGGUAAGACGUAGGGGGCGAGCGUUGUCCGGAUUUACUGGGCGUAAAGAGCGCGUAGGCGGCCUAUUAAGUCAGGUGUGAAAUCUCCAGGGCUCAACCCGGAAACUGCACUUGAUACUGUUAGGCUGGAGUGUCGGAGAGGUGAUUGGAAUUCCUGGUGUAGCGGUGACAUGCAUUGAUAUCAGGAGGAACACCCAUGGCGAAGGCAGAUCACUGGCCGACAACUGACGCUGAGGCGCGAAAGCGUGGGUAGCAACAGAAUUAGAUACUCUGGUAGUCCACGCCCUAAACGAUGGAUACUAGACGUC